rnacentral:rRNA from 1 species
UACGGAGGGUGCGAGCGUUAAUCGGAAUUACUGGGCGUAAAGCGCACGCAGGCGGUUUGUUAAGCUAGAUGUGAAAGCCCCGGGCUCAACCUGGGAUGGUCAUUUAGAACUGGCAGACUAGAGUCUUGGAGAGGGGAGUGGAAUUCCAGGUGUAGCGGUAAAAUGCGUAGAUAUCUGGAGGANCAUCAGUGGCGAAGGCGACUCCCUGGCCAAAGACUGACGCUCAUGUGCGAAAGUGUGGGUAGCGAACAGG